GUCUCUUCAACAAAGAUUUAACAAUGACUUGCGGAAUCUUGAAUUUUUAUUCAUUGAAACCCAAGACACAGUUCAAAACAUUCAAAAAAAAAAAACCCAACAUAGGUUUGUCAACAAAGAUUUGAGAAACACGCAGAGAAUCUUGAAAAAGCUUAAACAGGAAGGUAAGUAAGAGUAUUUGGAGUUGAAGAUGGUUUGAUGAGGCCAUCGUUUUAAGUUUAAUUAUCUUCAGUUUAUUAUGGUUUUUCAUACUUUCUGUUCUAAUGUCCUCACGAUGCACUACAGUGCAAAAACCUUUAAGGAAAUAGGUACAUCCUAUAUUUCAAUUAUCAAUAAGGCCUCUAUCAAUCAAUUUUAAACUUUAAGCAAGAGAAGGAUAGAACAAGCCCGAAAACAGAUUUUUUGAAUUUUUGAAGAGGAUUUACAGUAUACUCCAUUUAGGCCAAAAAAGCAAGGAUAAAAUUUCAAACUUUUUUUAUAUUAUAUAACCUCAAAGUAGUCUUCUGUACGGUUAUUCAAACUAAUCCUUGAACUCUUGAACAUGGAGGGUAGAGUGGUCUAAAAGCCAUUUUAAGCAUUGGCUAUAACGUAUCAGCCAAUGACAAGGAGGCAACAGCAGGGUGCAGAUGCUCUGUUAUGCUAUGCAGCUAUGCAAUGAAAAAUGCCUAGCCUUACAUUUCAAGUAGUUUUUAUUCAAUUAGAUAUUAAAACGGCAGAGAAAGUCUUAAAUGGUGGUAAUAAAUUUUACAGAGAUUCGUGAGAUUGAAGAUAAAAUUUCAAGAUGCGAUGCAAACAUUUACAAGGUCUGGGAAACAUUGAAGAGAAGCAAAACGUUGAGGGCCUGAGGGAAUUGUCAACAGACUUACAGGAGAAAUGUGCAGCUCUGGAACAUCUGAAAGGGCUUGUCAACAAAAUGCUGGCUGAAACCCCCGAGACUCCGCUAGCUUUAAUCCAAUUCCACUCGCCUCAUGCAAAACUCCAUGAUAAGUCAGUGAAAAGUUUGACCUACGAGGCUCGCAAAUUCUCCCGACCCUUACAAAGUAAAAAACGGAAGCAACCAGACCGGAACGAUGUGUUUCUGACCAUUGAGGACAAUCCUUUGAAUCUACCACCACUGCCAAUGGGUCCUAUUGCACUGACCCUGACUAACAGCAUGGUUGCAGUAUGUCAGAACUUUCAUGCAACACAGCAUCGUCGCAUAGUUUGGCAAAUACUAUUGCCAGUGGCACCAACCAAAAUGAAAUGGCUCUUCAUGACAAUAUGCAGACGGUUCUCGAUGCCCUUUUUAAUAACUUAA
rnacentral:lncRNA from 1 species